GCCCUCCUCAACGCCCACCGGCCACGCGGCUGCGUCAGGUGCCUCGGUGACCCCUGCCCGUGAGGCUCACGGCCCCCCUCCGUGGGCUCCCUGGGCAGGCGGAGGUGAUGGUGGAGCUCAGGGAAGGAGUGGCCUGGUGUAGACACGAGGCCCCCUGGGACCCCUGCCCUGCCCCCGCCCCACACCCUGGAGCCCAACGGGCUGCGUCAGGCACAGAGCUGGACUUUCCCCACUGCUAUUUCGGGGCCAGGGCAGGGGCUGAGGUUAGCCAAGGAUGCAUCUGGGCACGGCUUCAGGCAGGACACAACUGCUCUGACCCCAGCAUCUCAUCACGUGUCCCCAGCAUCACCCAGGCAGGCUUUGACCCGGCACCUGUACAGCUGUGAGAGGAAGGACCCCAACUCCACGUCUGGCCCUGGAAGGAUCACUUGCUCAUCUCUGUCCUGUGAGGAGAGGCAGACGUAUGAACAAGGAAGCGUGAUUUGCUCACAGCAUGCCUCCCAGGAGUGACCACCAGCUCCUCAAGACAUUAUUUCUGGUGUUUUUUUCUAGGCACAAAGCCAACACAUGAAUGUCAGUUUCCCAUCCCUAAAACUAAUAUCUAUCGAUUAUUAUUGAUUAUCUCUGUGCAUGUUCCUUUGCAUUCUGCUUUUUUGCCACUUAACGUUGCUUCACGAGCAUUUUUACGUCGUUAAACGCCCCCCUCCCCAAAGAGCAUUCUUAGAGGGUGUGUGAUAUUUUGUGCCACCCCUGGGCAGGUA